AGGAACAGGAAAACCGGAAGGGCCUGAUGGCCACCAUCUGUGCAGGUCCUACUGCUCUGUUGGCUCAUGUAAUAGGUUUUGGAAGUAAAGUUACAACACAUCCACUUGCUAAAGACAAAAUGAUGAAUGGAGGUCAUUACACCUACUCUGAGAAUCGGGUGGAAAAGGACGGCCUGAUUCUUACAAGCCGUGGGUGGGCCUGGGACCAGCUUUGAGUUCGCGCUUGCAAUUGUUGAAGCCCUGAACGGCAAGGAGGUGGCGGCUCAAGUGAAGGCUCCACUUGUUCUUAAAGACUAGAGUAGCAAAAUGUGACAAUCACCUAGAGAAACAGGCCUUAGGAAUCUAUUCUCACUGUGUUUGCUCUGAACAAAACAAUGGUAGGUUAGUGUGUUCCUAAGCUGCCCUCAUUACUGCUUUUGUGAGGUAUAGUUGUGAAGACAGAACUACACAGAGAUCUUCCAACCUACAAAUUGUGUCUAUACAUUUCUAAGCCUUGUUUGCAGAAUAAACAGGGCAUUUAGCAAACUAAAAACAAAAAACAAAAACAAAAAAACUUGGCUGUACCCACAUGGUAGUGGUACAUGCCUAUAGUUCAAGCUACUGGGGAGGCUGAGACACGAGAAUUGCUUGAACUCAGGAGGAAGAGGUUGCAAUGAGUUGUGAUGGUGCCACUGCACUCCAGCCUUGGCAACAGAAUGAAUGAGUGUGUGUGUGUGUGUGUGUGUAUUUACUAUCAGGUGGAACUGGAUUAUCAUAAAGGUCUCAGUCCUCGCUGCCUUCAUGAGUAGCUGAGAAGGAGAAGGAUCUUGCUGCUACAAGGGUGGUAGGUGGACCCUGUUCAAAUUUGAUAUUCAAGAGUCAACUGUUUUUAAAGUCAAGGGAAGGCAUACCAAUAGUUGUAAUUUCCUAGUACUGCAAAACAAAAGCUCUAAAACUUAAUGGCUUAAAACAAGCAAAAUUUAUUUUGCUGACUGGGCUUAGUUUGUUGCCAUCAUUUUCCACAAUGACCAAAAACAUUAAAUGCCUCUUUUAGGGAGAAAAACACAGACUUUUCCCAUCAUAUUGGAAUCUUUUACUUGAAUUAUAUCUGGACAAUUGAGAUUUCCAGAUAAAUACAUAAUAUUUAUCUGGAAUCACUCACUCAGACAAAAAUGUUAAGCUAGUAAAGGAACCUCAAGUGGUAUGUAUAAAAUGACCAUGAAGUACACAUGUGUUUUCAAAAGUUGGGUAUAAUAUAACUAGACUGAGGGGUUUAAAGAAAAACUUCAUUGCUGUUCCAUGUGUAUUUUUAAACUAGUGAGAUUUCAGUUUACAGCAUUAGCAAUUUUGGGAGAACUAAAUGCUCAUUUAAUUAAAUGAAUACUAAAAAUAAUGCCUUAUUUAAUCAUACUUGAUUGGGGAUGUUAAUCCCCUUUUUAUGCAUAAGGUUAGAAGUAACUUUAAGAAGAACACAGUUGAUUUGUGUUGGAACCAGCAUUUGGAUGGGCCUACACUUGGCACUGCCUGUAGAUUUUUCUAUCAUGCAACUAGUGGUUGAAUAAGCAGGUUCUUUAGAGCUUUCAGAAUAUUAAAUAUUUUAGAGAACAGAGUUAAUCUAGACUUCAUUUUAAGCAACAUUCAGCUAUUCUUUGCCUUCCCUCUCCCCUGCCCUGAAGAGUUUGUAUUUAUUAUAAUGUAUAACACAGCCCCAAUACAAUGUGGCCUAUAUAGAUUUUUCUCUUAGGCUUAGACAUAGACUCUGAGACCAUUAUGGGAGCUUCAUGGUUCUCAAGCAGACUUUCAUUCUACUUUUUCUCUUUGGCAAGUUGCUUUAUUAUCAAGUGGAUGUUGGGCGCCAUACAUCAUGUCCAGGUUCAAGGUACAGGAUGAGCUGAAGGAGGCUAAAGGCUACUGGCAUCCAGCCUCUCUUGUAAAAAGAAGAACCUAUGGUUUAUGCUCACAGUGUCAAAAGCAGGUAGUAAAUCAAGUAGAGCUGGGCGUGAAAUGCCAAGGGAGGUUAGGAUGACAGCCACAUUGGUCACAUAAUGUUGAUAUAAGUUGAUUUAGAAAAGGAUUAUUUGAUCAAGGAUAUCCUGGAACAUAAUGGAAGUAACUGCAUUUCAGAAAUAAGUGAACAGGGCUGAGAAAAGUAAUUUUCUUUCAGUAUAGUUCAAAAAAGGAUUAAUUAUGAUUGGAGUCCUACUUUGCCCAAGGCUUUUUAUUUCAUUUUGCAUGAUAAUCUUUCUCAGAAGCAUGCAUGCAUAAAUGAGGUUGAGACAGUGACUUAAAGUUGUAAAUGAAAUAUCAUCAGAAACAAGCUAUUAUGUGUUUUCUGGUUUCUGACCUGUGUAAGGGAUGCUCAAUGUUACUCAACAGUGAUUUACUUAAAUCAGGUAGUUAUAAACUGUGGUGGUGGUGGUGGGGUUCUAAUGGGAUCUGCCUUUUCUGGUAGGUUUAGUGGCAACAUACAAGCUUGCCAUAAACAUUUCCUGGGUUUUUUAUAAAAAAGUGUUCCUCCACCUUUCUGAGUCUCGCUCCCUCACAGAAUUCUUUUAUUCCCUUUAUUCUUAGAUCCGUCUUUAGUUACCUUUUCUGUAAUGAAACCACUACCCUCUCUGAAGCCUGAGUUCCUCUUCUAAAGUAACACCACUACCACCUUUUUUCUUUAUUAUCAUGUUUUUUGGGGAAAUUGUCUACACUCACUGCUACAUGUCCUCUAUCAUCUAAUGAAGGUAUUUGUCCAUUACUGGAUUUUGGUUUUUUUUUUCUUAGAGAUCAGUAGUAAUCAAAUUGAACAGCCUGUGCCCUCUCAGGAUGUGUGUUCUGUGGUAGUGGAAAAAUGACAGCAAAAGAGGGAAAUAACUUGUGGAAUCUAGUCCCAUAAAUGGAGGUAGCUGCCCAAGUGACUGUCAAUCAGAUAUUUGAGUUGCACACAACAGGUGCAUUUACCUGGUUUCAGAAUUGAAGCAGACUUAGGAAAGGUUGUAGGUGUUCUUGGGCUGUUAAUGGGGGACAGGAUUGAUUGCUGUUCAGACAGAGCAAUGUUUCCACUGUUAGUUACUGGGGUAUCCUGUUACCCCAAAGACCCAGAGCCAGAAUAUAAACACUUUGAGUGAUUGCAGUUUUGUGACAACAUAAUACUGGUUCUGUCAUCCUCCUUCAUUGGAUUACCUUCCUCUCUGCUGCUUUCUAAUCCAUGUUUUGAGUUUAGGGCAAAAAUGAGAGCUGAACUGCUACAUUUAAUCCAGUUCUGUAUUUUCAUUUGUCAUUUCAAAGCUAGUAUUAUCGUAACAAGUGUACAAAUCAUCAGACUCCCUGGUUACUUGUUAAUGACAUUCAGUAAGAUAGCCUGCUUGCCCCAUUUUGGAUAAUACCAAUUUCCAGACAAAACGUUAGUCAUCUCCCCUCAGUUUAAGUGCUGUCAAUCAGCUCUCCAUUAGGUAAAAUGGUGAAAACACGCAUCCAGGAUCUUAGAUAUUUAGUGAAGUAGACAUAUUAAAAUCUGAUAACUGCUCAUCAGAAUUUGAAGUGAUUAGGAAGGAAUUAGGAAAUCUAAGAGGUGGGAUUUAAUUUGGGCUUUGAAGAAUGAAAGGUUACAGAGGAUUUGGGAAAGUAAAUUGGAGGCAGCGAGGACAAGUAGAUGUAUGACUGGCACUCGCUCAAGGUUGCGUGGAAGGAGAGUCAAAAUAAGGCAAGUAGGACCCAUUUUGUGGAGGACUUGCCAUGCAAGUGUAAGAAAUUGGAAUGAUAACGUACACUGGAAGGCGAAUAGAAGUUUUCUGUCACGUUAUAGGAGUAGAACUGAAGGCUGUGUAUAUGAUAGUAUGGAUCAGGUGGUUGGACCACCCAAGAGCUUAUAUGAGAGGAAUGAGAACUGAAUUAGGCUGCUGACAGAACAGAAAGGAUGGAGUCACAAGUAGGUUGUACUGCAGUUUAAAAAACCAGCACUAAGCACUCUUAUUAAAGCACUUCCUUUAAGCUGUUACACAGAUUGAUCACUAGGAGGCAUCAGUUUAUCAACUAGUAAGGUGAAAAGGAAGGCAGCUGGACACUUAACCUAAUAUAAUAAGUCUGGAGAGUUCCGUGUUAAUAUUUAACAUUUUCAACUCAAGGCCUUUUGGAAACUAGUAUCUAUGAAAUAUUUCUUCUGAAUAGUACUUCUAAAUGACAAGGAAGUCUAAACUGCACUCUGUGGGACUAUUUGGUUAUCUUUAUACACUGAUGAGGGUAAAGUGACAUGCUCAUAAUUUACUGGCUUUUAACUAUUUCUUGAAAGAUGUUUGACCUUUGGUUUAUCCAAAUCUUUAAUAAUGACUGUUGUCAUUAGUUUCUACUGUAUGUUGCAAAUUAGUUUACAGAUCAGGAUUUUGUAAUCAUUACAUAUUAAACACUUAAUAACUUUCCAAGUUCUCUUACAUGUCUUUAAGCCAGUAUUGAUUAAUGGACUGUUAAUCAAGUGUUUGACUAUGUAACUGCCAAGUAAGAAACUUACCAACUCAGUUCCAUUGUUGUGGUUCUUCUGCUUCGAAAUACUUUUACUAGAAAACAGUAAGAUGCUAGUUUAUACAAAUACUUUUCACAAUAUUAAAUUGCAUGUUGCUUG